AAUUCCCACGGGAUAUAGGAAUCUUUGAUAGUUCAGGAGCGAUUGUGCGUUGAUUCCCCCAGCGAUUUUAGAGAAAUUACUCUGUGUUGGGCUCUGUGCUAGGCACAGCACGGGGAGAUGACGUGGAGCUCGCUCCAGCCGAGAGAUUUUGGCGUACCGAAGGCGGGGAGGUUGAUGUCUAAGGAACGGAUGGAAGGUCGUGGGCCUGAGGAAGGCCAGUGUCAGCCAGAUCCCACCAGGACUGCUAGAGGCUGUUGUGGACCCCGGAUGAUUCCUCUGGCUUUGGAGAAGGAUUGUAAAAGAGGAAGCAGAGAGAUCAGAUAAGAGGCUAUCUUGGAGCAAUCCAGGUGAGAGGGAAGAGAAACCAUCUGCCAAGGAGGAACCUUACACACAGACUGGAGGCUUCUGAAACAGCAGUCUCCAGGGCAGAGAACCAC